rnacentral:rRNA from 1 species
AGCUGCGUCGAGGUCUUUCGCAUGGGCGCAGCCUGACGAAGCGACGCCGUGUGGAUGAUGACGCUUUCGGGUUGUAAAGUCCUUUCGCUUGGGAGCAAGAGAGGUUGGCUAAUAACUAAUMRWUUGAGAGUACCUGGGAAAGAAGCCCCGGCUAACUCC